AUUUGCCUUUUAAUUGGAGGCUCGUAUGAACGGACACACGAAGGCACGGCUGUCUCUUUUAUGGCCCUGUAAAUUAUCCUUUAGGUGAAGAGCCCUAAAUAAUAUAAAAAGACGAAAAGACCCUAUGGAGCUUUACUUUACUUUUUUUAUGCUUUCAUAAAAAUAUUGUGCACUAAAUUAAUAAAGUUUAGUUGGGGCGACUAAGGAGCACAAUAAACCCUCCUCUUCUUCUACGGGCUUGCCCCUUACAAACAUCCACGAUAGUGAAUAUAGACUCAGCUACCCUAGGGAUAACAGGCUAAUCCUCCUCGAGAGUUCAAAUUGACAGGAGGGGUUGGCACCUCGAUGUUGGCUUAAGGUUACUCCAAGGUGCAGCAGCUUUGAGAGUGGGUUUGUUCAACCCUUAAAUCCUU
rnacentral:rRNA from 1 species